rnacentral:rRNA from 1 species
UAAUACGAAGGGCCCGAGCGUUGCGCGGAAUCAUUGGGCUUAAAGCGUACGUAGGCGGACACAUAGGCGCUUUGUGAAAUCCCUCGGCUCAACCGAGGAACUGCUUGGCGAACCAUGUGUCUUGAGGCAAGUAGGGGCUGUCGGAACGAUAGGUGGAGUGGUGAAAUGCGUUGAUAUCUAUCGGAACGCCGAAGGAGAAAUCAGGCAGCUGGGCUUGUUCUGACGCUGAGGUACGAAAGCGUGGGGAGCGAACGGGAUUAGAUACCCCGGUAGUCCACGCCGUAAGCGAUGUGCACUAGAUCGAGGGGACUCUGACGUCGCUCUUGGUCGAAGCGAAAGUGUUAAGUGCACCGCCUGGGGAGUACGGUCGCAAGGCUA